AUGCAGUACCGUUCGUUACGUUCAAUCGUGUUCGACGCGAAGCGACGGUAGGCUAUCGUAAGCAUAUACUCGAUUCUCUCAUGCAAAUGCGACUGCACUGGGUUCAACGGGUUAGAGGGAAGGUGAGGAAGAGGCGGCAAGGGAGGAUGGUGACUGGAAGGGAUUAGAGAGCGAGACGUAAAGAGGAAUGUGUUCAGAGAGAGAGAAAGAGAGAGAGAGAGAGAGAGAGAGAGAGAGAGAGAAAGACAGAAAGAGAGAGAGAGAUUUAAUCGGCCAGGCUUGCCUUCCUACGUCGGAGACGGUAAUGAGCGUAAUUGACCAAUUAGGCUUGGCGAUUAAGAAAGAAAGGAAAAAAAAAAGAAAAAAAAACGAAAGAAAAGAAAAUGAAUAUUAAGACUAGGGCGAGGGGAAAUUUUGUCGUCAAGGUCGCCUUAACCUCUAUCCUCUCUUUUUAUUUGUAAUUAUCGACUGAGGAAUUAAAGAAAAACAACAAGAAUAGUUUAAAACGUUUCAUUCGUUCAAAAUGAAAAUGGAAUUUCUAAAAAUACGAACAUGUAUUAUAUAAUUACAAGACAGUGACAGCUAUUUGUAACGUUCAUAAUCAAAUUAUGUGUGCUUAA